AUUGAACGCUGGCGGCAUGCUUUACACAUGCAAGUCGAACGGCAGCGCGGGGCAACCUGGCGGCGAGUGGCGAACGGGUGAGUAAUAUAUCGGAACGUACCCAGAAGUGGGGGAUAACGUAGCGAAAGUUACGCUAAUACCGCAUACGAUCUACGGAUGAAAGUCGGGGACCGCAAGGCCUUAUGCUUUUGGAGCGGCCGAUAUCUGAUUAGCUAGUUGGUGAGGUAAAGGCUCACCAAGGCGACGAUCAGUAGCUGGUCUGAGAGGACGACCAGCCACACUGGAACUGAGACACGGUCCAGACUCCUACGGGAGGCAGCAGUGGGGAAUUUUGGACAAUGGGCGCAAGCCUGAUCCAGCAAUGCCGCGUGAGUGAAGAAGGCCUUCGGGUUGUAAAGCUCCUUUGUCAGGGAAGAAACGGUAGAGGCUAAUAUCCUGUGCUAAUGACGGUACCUGAAGAAUAAGCACCGGCUAACUACGUG
rnacentral:rRNA from 1 species